GCCUUCGUGGUGUAGUGGUCAGCACGAUGAACGCGUAUUCGAGAGAUCCUUGGUUCGAGUCCCAGCGAAGACG
rnacentral:tRNA from 1 species